CCUACGGGAGGCUGCAGUGGGGAAUAUUGGACAAUGGGGGAAACCCUGAUCCAGCGACGCCGCGUGAGUGAAGAAGUAUUUCGGUACGUAAAGCUCUAUCAGCAGGAAAGAAAAUGACGGUACCUGACCAAGAAGCUCCGUCUAACUACGUGCCAGCAGCCGCGGUAAUACGGAGGGGGCAAGCGUUAUCCGGAUUUACUGGGUGUAAAGGGAGCGUAGACGGCAGCGCAAGUCUGGAGUGAAAUGCCGGGGCCCAACCCCGGAACUGCACUGGAAACUGUGAAGCUGGAGUGCAGGAGAGGUGAGCGGAAUUCCUGGUGUAGCGGUGAAAUGCGUAGAUAUCAGGAAGAACACCGGCGGCGAAGGCAGCUUACUGGACUGUAACUGACGUUGAGGCUCGAAGGCGUGGGGAGCAAACAGGAUUAGAUACCCGUGUAGUC
rnacentral:rRNA from 1 species